GUAGAGAAACAUUUUUGUAAAUGAUAAUACAGCUGUUCUACCAAUUUCUCUUAAUUUUCAAACUUUUUGAAGGGGUACACUAUAUUUUCACGAUUUGUUCAUUCUGAUUUCCAACUCAUAUUUGUUCAUCAUUUUCUCUUUACUUUUUAAAAAGUUGAAAGACAUUCAUAUCACAAAAUUUUCACUGGAUAAUUUUUCUUGUUGCAACUGUAGAUUUUUGUGGAUAUAUACAAAUCUCUCUAGUGACACAUCUAGAGAUUAAUGUUAUGUUCUAUUCCAUAGGGAGCAAAUAUACCACAUGAAACAUUGCAACUAUGAAUCUAACUAGACUGUACGGGCAACAUAUAUUGAAAGAUAAAUUAAAAUUGAAGGGAGUGUAUCCUGGUGUAUGACAGCAUAUAGUAGAGACCAGUGUCAAUUAGGGCCUGUGAACUGAGACAGGGUGACUGGCUAAGUCCACAACCCAUUAGAAACCCAGAAAUAAUCAAAUCAUGAGGGAUCAUGGAAAGGAAGCUGAAUUUGCUGAGUUUUGCCACGUGGGCAUUGCAUGCCUAUGUGAUUAACCACCAAUAAAAACCUGGGACAUCAAAAAAUAAAUAAGCUGCUUUAAUUGCCAAGAAUUCACAUGUGGUUGUAUGCAGCAUUACUGGGAGAUUGAAGUGUAUCUGCAUGUGAUUCUACUGUGAUGGACACUUGUAAAUUUGUGCCUGGAGUCUCCUGGAAUUUGCCCUGAGAAUCUUUUUCCUUUGUUGAUAAGAAUCUGCAUCCUUUUGUUUUAAUAAACGAUAAACAUGAGUAUAAUUGCUUCUCUGAGUUCUGAGAGUUUUUUAAAUAAAUAAUCAAAGCUGAAAAGCAAUGGAGACCCCCACCAAAACAUCUUUACACAUUUCAAUUUUGUAUUGAAGUAAAUUUUAUUUUCUUUUUUAUACCUCCCGUAUAUAUUCUAUUUUUCUCAUUAUUAUUUAUUUAUCCCAAAUCUUUUAUCUGUGAUCAUUUUCCUUUGUUUGAAAUUUGUCUUUUGAGAUUUCUUUAGAAGGUGCUUUUGGAUGAUAAAUUUUCUGUUAUUCUUUGUCUAAAAUGUCAUUAUUUUGACUCAUUUAUAAAAGGAGUUUUUGUGUUUUAUAAACCUCUAAUGUAUAGAAGUGUGUCUAAACUCAUUGAGGAUAUUUUCCAAAUUUUUUCCUGCUUUUUAUUGCUGUUGAUAAGAAAUCAGUGUUGGUAUUUUGACAUUUAAGUUAUGUGUCAUUUUGUUGUGGUAGUUCUGAAGAUCUUCCCUCUGUUUUAUAUUCUCCUUCACCUUUCAUAAAUGUACUUUAUAUUUAUUUGGUAAUAAAUUUUGAACAUAUACUAUGCUAUAAAGAUAAUCUAGGCCCUUUGGUUACAUCUCGUAAAUAAAAUCAACAAAAUCUGUUUUGAGAUUAUAUUGUAAUAUAAGAUACCCAAAGUAAAUAGGAUAUGUACCAUAUGUUUGAAGGUGGUAAAUACGAUGAGAAAAAUAGAUCAGGUCAGGAAGAAUGAAGAUGAUUGAAGGUACAGGUUAUGAUAAAAACUUAGGUGUGCCGAGGAAUGAAUUCAUCUUAUGUAUCUUGAGUGUAAUGUCUUAUUUCUCCUGAAUCUGAGAAUUUGAUGUCUUUCAUUAGGUAUGUCAGUGAAUUUCACUAAUG
rnacentral:lncRNA from 1 species